CUGGUUGCUGGGAAAAUGAAGCCCUCUUUGUCCACACCACAGGUGUGGCAUGGGCAACCGGAACACAAGAUUCCCCCUCAUUGCCCCACCAAUGUGCCUCUAAGGUAGCUUGGAGGAACCUCCUCUAGGGUGAAAAGACAGCAGCUUCCUGCCCCUGGCCCAUCCAAUCCUUAGCCUCU
rnacentral:sRNA from 1 species